rnacentral:rRNA from 1 species
UACGGGGGGGGCAAGCGUUGUUCGGAAUUAUUGGGCGUAAAGGGCGCGUAGGCGGUGUGGCAAGUCUCCUGUGAAAUCUCCGGGCUUAACUCGGAGCCUGCAGGGGAAACUGCAGCGCUUGAGUGUGGGAGAGGUGAGUGGAAUUCCAGGUGUAGCGGUGAAAUGCGUAGAUAUCGGGAGGAAAACCUGUGGCGAAAGCGGCUCACUGGACCACAACUGACGCUGAGGCGCGAAAGCUAGGGGAGCAAACAGG